rnacentral:lncRNA from 1 species
ACGAUAAGGUGUUCCUUCCGAUUCACGUGUCCUGGUAUUAGUUAACUCGCUAGUCUUUCCGCAAAUUGUAAUAAAAACCCGGUCAGAGUUGACGACGAAGAGUUCCGAGAGGUUGUAUUAGGGUUUGGGUACGCGCCAUCGGUGCCACUUUAGUUCUCCAGUGGAGGAGGAUCUUCUUUUAAUAGCAGGAGCCACCAGACGGGCUUGACGUCCUGUUGAGCUCGCCACCGGGGCUUCAUCUAAUGAAGACCGAGCGGAAGUCUAGGUGCAUUGAUUAGAUCAGUGUUUGUCACCGACGCACUGCUCCUCCGGUGAGGUCUCCGGCCAGAGGCACGCGUCAGGACGGAGCCAAGAAGAAACUGCCGGUCGGCGAGGGGGAGGGAGGGAGGGAGGGUGGGGGGCGCCACCAUGUGGCGGCGUCUCCGUGGCUUUCCCGUCUUCGACAACAACUCCAUUACUAACCUGUUCGGCCACACGUGAUCAGCCUCCCCGCCGACGAUCGCCGGCCGUCCACCUGGUGGGUUUCGAGUCGGUGAGCCAGGUUCUUGUUUUUCUUAGCCAAUGCGAUAUAAAACUGUCGAUAAACGGACCCAUCUGGGCGUCAGUCGAAGGUUCGAGAUUGCCUGUGAGCUGUAGUAAUCAGAAGAGGUGCGGAGAAGGGGUCCGUGAGAGCGCCGGGUCGUCUCCUUCACGGGCAAUUCACCGAGCUGGCUCUCUCGGCCAUUCAUUGUGAAUUCGGAGUCACCCCACUUGGGGCUUUUAAUACUCGCCCUGCUCUCUAAUCCACCUCCGACGGCGUGAAACCUCGGUCUCUGUCAACAGACACAAGAAUAUGGUUCAAGAAUGCGUGCCAAAAUAUAAUCCGCACGUCUCUCCGGAGUCUCACGGCGGGCGGGCGGCUCAGAUUCCUCCCGAUCAUCCAUCCUCUGAGAGACGCGGGAUCUUGACGCUAGCUCUUCGCUGGAAGUCAGCGAUGAAUCAAGGCAGGCACGAGAAAGAUUCCCCCUUCCCCGCUGCAUGCCACAACAUACAGAGAGAGGAGAGAGAGAGAGGUAGGGGAGACAUGAACGACGACUGGUCCUGGAUAUAUUGUAAAGGGCCGUGAUCGUCGUGCCCAUGCACACGUGAAGAGUGGUAUGAUCGGGAGAUGAGCUACGUAAGAGCAGCGUAAGAGAGUUGCAUGUAGCCGAUCCACCCGUACGUGCUGCUUCAUAAUCUAUCCUCACCCAUGGAUCAAGCACAGCUAAGAGGCUGUGAGCUCCACUGGCAACGGAGUAAACACAGCACGGUGUUCAAGUCCCCAGGAACCGCAAGAGGGGUUGCUGGUCGGUGAUCGCCGAUGAUGCCGGUCUAGGGUUCCUUGGCUAUGGAAGAGAUCAUGUGCGGCAAUCGGCUUCGUUUGGGAAGGGCUGUCCUUUUUUAGAAUGGAGAUUACGUGAGGAGGGUGAGACGGGCCGGGAGGAAUCUCCUGUUGUCCUCUCGCCCUUGCCGUCCCGUCAUCCCCCCUUGCAUCGCCGUCUCCCUCCUUCCAAAUGGAACCCCCUUCCCUUCUCUCAGUCACUCACUAGCCUUUCCUCUGCGCUCCCAUCUCUUUCGUCUUAUCUCUCUUUCUCCCACGCGCGUAUCUAUCUACAUAUCCAUAUCGAUCCUAGGAGAUCCUCUUCGACGGCUCAUCUUCGAUUUCGUUUCUGAUUCAGAGGAGCCAUCGCGCUCAGCUUAAGCGCAACAAGAGGACGACAGCAGUCGAUUGGGGCGGAUGAAGUAAAACGUAGACGACGUAACCGACGGUUGUUUUACGAUGCUGCCGGUGGCAUCCUCCAUUUGCUCCAGAGGAAAAUAACUCUAUUUCUGGGAGGAGGAAGAGGAGGAGAGAGAAAUAUCUGUGGAAGACAGGAGCAUGCCCCUGGUCCAAGCGAGGCACCCAUGAAGAGGGCUGGUGCUAUCUGGCCCAGGGCAGGAUUUGGUGAGUAGGCCCACAAGGAUACGGCAGCGCCUCACUCCCCUCUCCCCCCGUUGAGAUGAUGUCCCGCUUUCCCCACCACCCACCCUCCGCCAACCCACCGCCACAUCGCCAGAUCGCGGCCCCCCUCCAGUGGACCCGGUAACGCUCCGACGGAC